AGUCUUAUAGUCAAAGUUAAAAUGAUGUCAAAUUGCAAAUUUGAAGGAGGGUUUAGCCCUAAGGCUU
rnacentral:tRNA from 1 species